rnacentral:rRNA from 1 species
GUGGGGAAUAUUGCACAAUGGGCGCAAGCCUGAUGCAGCCAUGCCGCGUGUAUGAAGAAGGCCUUCGGGUUGUAAAGUACUUUCAGCGGGGAGGAAGGUGUUGUGGUUAAUAACCGCAGCAAUUGACGUUACCCGCAGAAGAAGCACCGGCUAACUCCGUGCCAGCAGCCGCGGUAAUACGGAGGGUGCAAGCGUUAAUCGGAAUUACUGGGCGUAAAGCGCACGCAGGCGGUCUGUCAAGUCGGAUGUGAAAUCCCCGGGCUCAACCUGGGAACUGCAUUCGAAACUGGCAGGCUGGAGUCUUGUAGAGGGGGGUAGAAUUCCAGGUGUAGCGGUGAAAUGCGUAGAGAUCUGGAGGAAUACCGGUGGCGAAGGCGGCCCCCUGGACAAAGACUGACGCUCAGGUGCGAAAGCGUGGGGAGCAAACAGGAUUAGAAACCCGAGUAGUCC